UACGAAGGGGGCUAGCGUUUUUCGGAUUCAUUGGGCGUAAAGGGUGCGUAGGUGGUUGGGUAAGUCAAAUGUGAAAUCCCGGAGCUCAACUCCGGAACUGCAUUCGAUACUGCCCGGCUCGAGGAUUGGAGAGGAGACUGGAAUUCACGGUGUAGCAGUGAAAUGCGUAGAGAUCGUGAGGAACACCCGUGGCGAAGGCGGGUCUCUGGACAAUUCCUGACACUGAGGCACGAAGGCCAGGGGAGCAAACGGG
rnacentral:rRNA from 1 species